rnacentral:rRNA from 1 species
CCCUUAGAUGUCCUGGGCCGCACGCGCGCUACACUGAGUGUCUGAGAUACGAGUCUGCCUGGUCCGGCAAGGUCUAGGUAAUCGCUAAAAGACACAUCAUGCUUGGGAUAGAUUAUUGCAAAUAUUAAUCUUGAACGAGGAAUUCCUAGUAAGCGCAAGUCAACAGCUUGCGUUGAUUACGUCCCUGCCCUUUGUACACACCGCCCGUCGCUACUACUGAUUGGAUGUUUAAGCGAGGUUCUCGAACUGCUAGCGACUUAGCUUCGGUGAGGUCGCAGUGUGGGAAGUGAACCUAGCUUGGGUGUCUAGAGGAAGUAAAAGUCGUAACA